AGAUCUAAGACACUGUCUUAACUGUCAGCCCUGUUGAUCCGCCUUGGUUUAGUUGAUCUAGCUAGCUAGGCAGAUAGCCUCAUCUCUUACCAAGCCAAAUGCAUCCUUCUGGAAGCUGUUCACUCAGUUGAUAGUGGCUAAUCUUCCCAAUAGGGAAGGAUUUUUUUUUUUUUUUUCGGAGCUGGGGACCGAACCCAGGGCCUUGCGCUUCCUAGGCAAGCGCUCUACCACUGAGCUAAAUCCCCAACCCCGGGAAGGAUUUUUUUUAAAGACUUAUUUCAUAUAUGUGAGUACACUGUUGAUGUCUUCAGGCACAC
rnacentral:sRNA from 14 species